rnacentral:misc_RNA from 1 species
GGAAUCCACGUAUUUUAAUUCUUGACCAUGCCAUCGUCUCGAAGUCAAGCGUGUACAAGUCAUUUAACGUCCUGGACUUUGACGAUCCACCAAAAAUCAAGAGUAAUUUAUCAUCAUAGAGGGCAGACACAUGGUUUGAUCUUGGCGAAGGACCUGUUCCCGUGCAAUGAAGUGGCAGCCAUGUCAAGGAUUUAAGAUCAAACAUAUGCAGAUCGUUUAGCUUCCUCCUCUUUAUGUCUUCACCCCCAAAUAAAAUCAAAACUGAGCUUGCUCUAAGGACAGUAUGACCACUACGUGCAACCGGAACGUCUCCCUUUGCUUCCAGAAGUGACCAGCAUUCAGUUUCAGUGUCAAACGCCCAGACUGAGACUUUGUCAC